GAUCGCAUCAUUCAAAUAUCUGCCCUAUCAACUUUCGAUGGUAGGAUAGAGGCCUACCAUCGGGUUCAACCGGGUCAACCGGGGAAUCAAGCGGUUCGAUUCCGGAGAGGGAGCCUGAGAAACGGCUACCAAUCCAAGGAAGGCAGCAGGCGCGCAAAUUAACCAAUCCCGACACGGGGAGGUAGUGACAAUAAAUAACAAUAUAGGGCUCUUAUGGGUCUGAUCAAUUCGGAAUGAGUACAAUUUAAAUCUCUUAACGAGGAACAAUUGGAGGGCAAGUCUGGUGCCAGCAGCCGCGGUAAUUCCAGCUCCAAUAGCGUAAUAUUAAAGUUGUUAGCAGUUAAAAAGCUCGUAGUUGAACUUCAGAUCUGGUUGAGUGGUCCGCCUAACGGUGUGUUACUGCUUGACUGGGUCUUGUCUCUUGGUGAAACGUUGUGUCCUUUAUUCGGAUGCUUCAGGGGAACCAGGACCUUUAUACCUUGAGAAAAUUAGAGUGUUCAAAGCAGGCCUAUGCCCGAAUACAUUAGCAUGGAAUAAUAGAA
rnacentral:rRNA from 1 species